rnacentral:rRNA from 1 species
GCCUGACUGACUAUUCUUAUUCCAGGGUCCCUCCUUACUUAAGACGGGCUAUGGGUUGUCAAGCUCUUUUACCAGGGAUGAUAAUGACAGUACCUGGAGAAUAAGCUCCGGCUAACUCCGUGCCAGCAGCCGCGGUAAUACGGAGGGAGCUAGCGUUGUUCGGAAUUACUGGGCGUAAAGCGUACGUAGGCGGUUAUUCAAGUCAGAGGUGAAAGCCUGGAGCUCAACUCCAGAACUGCCUUUGAAACUAGAUAACUAGAAUCUUGGAGAGGUGAGUGGAAUUCCGAGUGUAGAGGUGAAAUUCGUAGAUAUUCGGAAGAACACCAGUGGCGAAGGCGACUCACUGGACAAGUAUUGACGCUGAGGUACGAAAGCGUGGGGAGCAAACAGGAUUAGAUACCCUGGUAGUCCACGCCGUAAACGAUGAUAACUAGCUGUUCGGGCUCUACGAACUUGAGUGGCGCAGCUAACGCAUUAAGUUAUCCGCCUGGGGAGUACGGUCGCAAGAUUAAAACUCAAA